GGAAUAUGGGUGAGGUUGGUGGCUGAAUUUGGGUUUGAAUGGGUUGUGAAAAACCAUGUGAGUGGGGCUGUUGGAACUUUCCUUCCACCACUGUGUUUGGGGAUGGUUCGGAUGUCCGCGGGAGAGGUGGCGGCACCGACAAAGGGCAACUUAGAGGGUCUAGCGGCCGGCCAGCCGCCAUCCCUUGAUGUUGAGGGAGGGGAG
rnacentral:lncRNA from 1 species